CCUUUAGAUGUUCUGGGCCGCACGCGCGCUACACUGAUGCAUUCAACGAGUUUCUUCCUGGUCCGAGAGGAAUGGGUAACCUUUUGAAAGUGCAUCGUGAUAGGGAUAGACUAUUGCAAUUAUUGGUCUUCAACGAGGAAUUCCUAGUAGACGUAGUUCAUCAGACUGCAUCGAUUACGUCCCUGCCCUUUGUACACACCGCCCGUCGCUCCUACCGAUUGAAUGCUCAGGUGAGCCAUUCGGACUUUCAUCAUGCUGGUCUCCAGUUUUGAUGAAGGAAAGUCUUGCGAACCUUAUCAUUUAGAGGAAGGAGAAGUCGUAACA
rnacentral:rRNA from 1 species